UGAGGAACAUGACCUUCGGCGGGGGAGUAGCCGGCCCAACGGCCGGGUAAUACCGCGUACGACCACAUGGGGACAUCCCUGAGUGGUGAAAGCAGCAAUGCGCCGAUGGAGUGCCUCGCGGCCUAUCAGCUAGUUGGUGAGGUAACGGCUCACCAAGGCGACGACGGGUAGCUGGUCUGAGAGGAUGGCCAGCCACAUUGGGACUGAGACACCGGCCCAGACCUCUACGGGGAGG
rnacentral:rRNA from 1 species